rnacentral:misc_RNA from 1 species
GAAAUGCGAUAAUUAAUGUGAAUUGCAGAAUUCAGUGAAUCAUCGAGUCUUUGAACGCACAUUGCGCCCCCUGGUAUUCCGGGGGGCAUGCCUGUCCGAGCGUCAUUGCUGCCCUCAAGCACGGCUUGUGUGUUGGGCUUCCGUCCCUGGCAACGGGGGCGGGCCCAAAAGGCAGUGGCGGCACCAUGUCUGGUCCUCGAGCGUAUGGGGCUUUGUCACCCGCUCCCGUAGGUCCAGCUGGCAGCUAGCCUCGCAACCAAUCUUUUUAACCAGGUUGACCUCUGAUCAGGUAGGGAUACCCGCUGAACUUAAGC